rnacentral:misc_RNA from 1 species
GAUCUCGGACCAGGCUUCAUUCCCCUCAGCAAUAGCUUCAAAAAUGAUAUCGCGGAGAGUUAGGAGAGCUACUAGCUAGUGUAUAAAUUUGUUCUAGUUUUUUUUUAUUUUGAAAUAUUCGUUUGCGUGUUCGUGAGAUUCCUGGCCGUUCUUAGUAGUAUGCAUGGUGUGGAGCACUACUGUACUUCCGCUCCUGGAUCUUUACUACUACUCCACUGUGCUUUUUUGUUUGUUUGUUUGCUUGCUUCCUUGCUGCGAAAUCGAGGAGCAGCGCAGAUUGGUGUAAUCAUGUGC